UACGUAGGUGGCGAGCGUUGUCCGGAUUUACUGGGCGUAAAGGGCGUGCAGGCGGUUUGUUAAGUGCAGGGUGAAAGCUCCCGGCUCAACUGGGAGAGGUCCUUGCAUACUGGCGAACUCGAGGGAGGCAGAGGAAAGUGGAAUUCCCGGUGUAGUGGUGAUAUGCGUAGAUAUCGGGAGGAACACCUGUGGCGAAGGCGGCUUUCUGGGCCUUACCUGACGCUGAGACGCGAAAGCGUGGGAAGCGAACCGG
rnacentral:rRNA from 1 species